GAUGAACGCUGGCGGCGUGCUUAACACAUGCAAGUCGAACGAGAAAUGUAGACGGAAACCUUCGGGCGGAAGCCUUCAUUUCGAGUGGCGGACGGGUGAGCAACGCGUGGGUAACCUGACAAAUACAGGGGGAUAACAGUUGGAAACGACUGUUACUACAGCAUAAGAACACAGCAUCGCAUGAUGCGGGGGUAACAACUCCGGUGGUAUGCGAUGGACCCGCGUUCGAUUAGCCAGUUGGCGGGGUAACGGCCCACCAAAGCGACGACCGAUAGCCGAGCUGAGAGGAUGACCGGCCACGUUGGGACUGAGACACGGCCCAAACUCCCACGGGAGGCAGCAGGGGUGAAUAUUGCACAAUGGGGGAAACCCUGAUGCAGCGACGCCGCGGGAGUGAAGAAGUACUGCGGGAUGUAAAGCUCUAUCAGCAGGGAAGAAAAUGACGGGACCUGAGGAAGAAGCCCCGGCUAACUACGUG
rnacentral:rRNA from 1 species